GCCUUCGUGGUGUAGUGGUCAGCACGCUGGUGCGUAUUCCAGAAGUCCGUGGUUCGAGUCCCGGCGAAGGCG
rnacentral:tRNA from 1 species